GACGAACGCUGGCGGCGUGCUUAACACAUGCAAGUCGAACGGAAAGGCCCUGCUUUUGUGGGGUGCUCGAGUGGCGAACGGGUGAGUAACACGUGAGUAACCUGCCCUUGACUUUGGGAUAACUUCAGGAAACUGGGGCUAAUACCGGAUAGGAGCUCCUGCUGCAUGGUGGGGGUUGGAAAGUUUCGGCGGUUGGGGAUGGACUCGCGGCUUAUCAGCUUGUUGGUGGGGUAGUGGCUUACCAAGGCUUUGACGGGUAGCCGGCCUGAGAGGGUGACCGGCCACAAUGGGACUGGGAUACCGCCCAGACUCCUACGGGAGGCAGCAGUGGGGAAUAUUGCACAAUGGGCGGAAGCCUGAUGCAGCAACGCCGCGUGCGGGAUGACGGCCUUCGGGUUGUAAACCGCUUUCGCCUGUGACGAAGCGUGAGUGACGGUAAUGGGUAAAGAAGCACCGGCUAACUACGUG
rnacentral:rRNA from 1 species